rnacentral:rRNA from 1 species
AGGUUUGCCGCUUGCGGCCAGGGUGACAGGUGUUGCAUGGUUGUCGUCAGCUCGUGUCGUGAGAUGUUGGGUUAGGUCCCGCAACGAGCGCAACCCCCGUNNNGUGUUGCCAGCGAGUAGAGUCGGGCACUCACAGGAGACUGCCGGAGACAAUUCGGAGGAAGGUGGGGAUGAGGUCAAAUCCUCAUGGCCCUUAUGGCCUGGGCUACACACGCGCUACAAUGGCCUGUACAGAGGGAAGCGAAAGAGUGANCUGGAGCGAAUCUCACAAAGCAGGUCUCAGUUCGGAUUGCAGGCUGAAACUCGCCUGCAUGAAGCCGGAAUUGCUAGUAAUCGCAGAUCAGCUAUGCUGCGGUGAAUACGUUCUCGGGGAUUGUACACACCGCCCGUCAAACCACGAAAGUCGGCAACACCCGAAGCCGGUGGAGCUAACCCGCAAGGGAGGCAGCCGNCUAAGGUGGGGUCGGUGAUUGGGGUUAAGUCGUAACAAGGUAACA